GAUGAACGCUAGCGGCAGGCUUAACACAUGCAAGUCGAGGGGUAACAGGGUAGCAAUACCGCUGACGACCGGCAAACGGGUGCGGAACACGUACGCAACAUACCCUUGUCUGGGGCAUAGCCCGAAGAAAUUCGGAUUAACACCCCAUAAGAUCAUAGAAUGGCAUCAUUUAGUGAUUAAAAAUUUAUUGGACGGGGAUUGGCGUGCGUCCUAUUAGCUAGUUGGUAUGGGUAACGGCCUACCAAGGCGACGAUAGGUAGCUGGUGUGAGAGCACGACCAGCCACACGGGCACUGAGACACGGGCCCGACUCCUACGGGAGGCAGCAGUGAGGAAUAUUGGGCAAUGGACGAAAGUCUGACGCAGCGACGCCGCGUGGGGAUGAAGGC
rnacentral:rRNA from 1 species